CGCGGUAAUACGUAGGUGGCAAGCGUUAUCCGGAAUUAUUGGGCGUAAAGCGCGCGUAGGCGGUUUUUUAAGUCUGAUGUGAAAGCCCACGGCUCAACCGUGGAGGGUCAUUGGAAACUGGAAAACUUGAGUGCAGAAGAGGAAAGUGGAAUUCCAUGUGUAGCGGUGAAAUGCGCAGAGAUAUGGAGGAACACCAGUGGCGAAGGCGACUUUCUGGUCUGUAACUGACGCUGAUGUGCGAAAGCGUGGGGAUCAAACAGGAUUAGAUACCCUGGUAGUCCACGCCG
rnacentral:rRNA from 1 species